UUAGGGGUUUCUGGUUUUUCAAGAAAUGAAUUUAAUUCAUGCGUCUUAUUUAGAGUUUUAUUAUUUGUUUAUUUAUUUUUAUUUGUCGUUAAGAUUGGGGGGGAUUAGCUUCUUAUUUUAUUUUUAUAAUUUUUUGUUUAUUUAGUCUUGUGGGUUUUAUAGUGAUUUUCAAUUUGAUUAUGUUAAAAUUUUAUUUGUUUUGUUCUUUAUUUUUGUUUAUUUAAUUAUUUAUUGAAAUGUAUUCUUUAUUUUGUUUUGGUUAGUAAUUAUUGUAGAAUUAGUAAAUUUGUUUUUAGGUUGUUUUAUUUGUGUUAAUUUUCUUUGAGGAACUAGGCAAAUUUCAUGUCCGCCUGUUUAACAAAAACAUCUUUUCUCGUUAGUUUUUGAAGUAUGGCCUGCCCGCUGACUUUGGUGUUGAAGGGCCGCGGUAUUUUGACCGUGCAAAGGUAGCAUAGUCAUUAGUUCUUUAAUUGUGAUCUGGUAUGAAUGGCUUGACGAGGCAUGGGCUGUCUUAAUUUUGAACUGUUUAUUGAAUUUGGUCUUUGAGUUAAAAUUCUUAGAUGUUUUUAUGGGACGAGAAGACCCUAUAGAGUUUAACAUUUGUUAUGGUCCCUUUCUGUUUGUGAGGGUUCACUGGGCCGUCUAAUAUGUUUUGUUGGGGUGAUGGGAGGGAUACAAUUUAA
rnacentral:rRNA from 1 species